rnacentral:tRNA from 1 species
GCGACCGUAGUCCAGUGGCUUAAGACACCGGCUUGCCAUGCCGGUAACCCGGGUUCGAAUCCCGGCGGUCGCACCA